rnacentral:rRNA from 1 species
UACGGGAGACAGCAGUGGGGAAUUUUCCGCAAUGGGCGAAAGCCUGACGGAGCAAUGCCGCGUGGAGGUGGAAGGCCUACGGGUCGUCAACUUCUUUUCUCGGAGAAGAAACAAUGACGGUAUCUGAGGAAUAAGCAUCGGCUAACUCUGUGCCAGCAGCCGCGGUAAU